rnacentral:rRNA from 1 species
UACGUAGGGGGCUAGCGUUGUCCGGAAUCAUUGGGCGUAAAGAGCGUGUAGGCGGCCCGGUAAGUCCGCUGUGAAAGUCAAAGGCUCAACCUUUGAAUGUCAGCGGAUACUGCCGGGCUAGAGUCCGGAAGAGGCGAGUGGAAUUCCUGGUGUAGCGGUGGAAUGCGCAGAUAUCAGGAGGAACACCAACGGCGAAGGCAGCUCGCUAGGACGGUACUGACGCUGAGACGCGAAAGCGUGGGGAGCGAACAGG